UAUAAUAUGAUGAUAAAUAAUUCUUUGAAAUUCACGUGAUAUGUACAAUUGUAAAAUAUCGAGCUUUUUAACACUGAUAAAA